UGCCAGCCGCCGCGGUAACACGGGGGGCGCAAGCGUUAUUCGGAAUUAUUGGGCGUAAAGGGCAUGUAGGCGGACUGUUAAGUCUGAUGUGAAAGCCCGGGGCUCAACCGUGGAAGUGCAUUUGAAACUGGAUGGCUUGAGUACUGGAGGGGGUGGUGGAAUUCCCGGUGUAGAGGUGAAAUUCGUAGAUAUCGGGAGGAAUACCGGUGGCGAAGGCGACCACCUGGCCAGAUACUGACGCUGAGGUGCGAAAGCGUGGGGAGCAAACAGGAUUAGAUA
rnacentral:rRNA from 1 species